AACGAACGCUGGCGGCAGGCUUAACACAUGCAAGUCGAACGCCCGUAGCAAUACGGGAGUGGCGGACGGGUGAGUAACGCGUGGGAACGUGCCCUGAGGUACGGAAUAACUGCGGGAAACUGCGGCUAAUACCGUAUGAGCCCCUUACGGGGGAAAGAUUUAUCGCCUUAGGAGCGGCCCGCGUCGGAUUAGCUAGUUGGUGGGGUAACGGCUUACCAAGGCUUCGAUCCGUAGCUGGUCUGAGAGGACGAUCAGCCACACUGGGACUGGGACACGGCCCAGACUCCUACGGGAGGCAGCAGUGGGGAAUCUUGCGCAAUGGGGGCAACCCUGACGCAGCCAUGCCGCGUGAAUGAUGAAGGCCUUAGGGUUGUAAAGUUCUUUUGCCCGUGACGAUGAUGACGGUAACGGGAGAAUAAGCUCCGGCUAACUUCGUGCCAGCCGCCGCGGUAAAAC
rnacentral:rRNA from 1 species